GGACCUUACAGGAGCAAAGAGCCUUGUGGAGCAGCAGACAGCCGAUGACCCAGACACUGAGAUUAAUUUGGGAUGUUUGCUGUACAAGGAAGGACACAAUGAAGAGGCCUGCAAGAAAUUUACCACAGCCAUGCAGGUUGUGGGCUACAAACCAGAUUUGACCUACAACAUUGCCCUUUGUUACUACAGCAUGAAACAGUAUGCGCCUGCUUUGAAGUAUAUUGCAGAAUAAUAGAACGUGGAAUCAGGGAACAUCCAGAGCUCAGUGUUGGAAUGACAACGGAAGGGAUUGAUGUGAGAAGUGUGGGUAACACAUUGGUGCUUCAUGAAACUGCAUUGAUUGAAGCUUUUAAUCUAAAAGCAGCCAUUGAAUACCAGCUUAAGAACUAUGAAGCGGCACAAGAGGCAUUGACAGACAUGCCGCCAAGAUCUGAAGAGGUAAGUUCACC